rnacentral:sRNA from 2 species
AGCCGUCCAUGUGAGACAGGAUGAGGAAGUCCGGUGUGAUUCCGGCGCGGUACCGCCACUGUGAACGCAGCCCCUCGGGUGCUCGUGAGCCAGACCUUCGCCUCGUCUUGAGUUUUCCUGCCGGGGCGGAACUCCCCGAGAAGGGUUGAU